ensembl:lncRNA
UCUGCCACCAUGCUGUAGGAAGCCGUGGACAUCAGAUACUCAGAUUUUCAUCGCCAGGGGAGAUGAGGACAGGACGGAAAGCAAUCCUUGUGCUUCAUGGAGGUGAGCGCCCAUUUCAGAAGACACAAAGGUUUAUUCUUGGCAAUGAAUAUGCCUGAAUUCCUGUUCAGAGUAGAGUGAACUAUACUUUCUCCAAAUCCUUGCUCUGAAUCACAAAAAAAUGUGUUAUUUCCUUGCAAUGGUGUUGUCCAAGAUUUAGAGGUCAUGAUCCAACACAUCAGCCAAAAGGAUGACCUUGGCUUGGAAAUGAGGCUUUUCCCAGAGCUCUGAAGGUCAGAUGCUCACUUUUCCAGCUGAGGAAUUUGGGACUAUUCGUGCUGCCUACCUUUAAGGUGCCUGUUUUGGGUCCCGAAGUGAUGAAGCUCUUCCUUCGAACUUCUGUGCUUCCUCUGGAAUGAACCCUUAGAGACCAGCCUCCCAGAACUGGGUACGAAGAUCAGCGUAUAACUGAAAUGCCAUCUUGCAGAGCACAGUGACCUCUCUGGAGGGCUGUCCUUGGGCUGUGGCUUCAUGCUCCCCUGUCCCAUGGGAGACACUGGAUUUCCUUUCUAGCCUGUCUCCCACGGAGCACUUUGGAGCACUUAUGUUUCUGUAGUGCAGGACUAAUCUGGAAAGCAGCUCAGAGCACACGUGGGAAGGUGUCCUAUGCAAAGGCUGCCCUCAAGCACCGCUCUGCAGCCCCAGCUUGGCCAUUCACGCCAAGCAGUGAAGGCACCGUGGCUCCUGUUGCAGAGCAUGCCAAUACUUGGAACACGCUCCUGCCAAUAUCCCACAUAAAUCACGCCUUAUUCAGCCCUCCUCAGUCCUUCUGGAGAUUCCUACUUCACUGCAAGUGAUAUGUGAUGGAUCUGUGCUUCC